rnacentral:rRNA from 1 species
UACGUAGGGUGCGAGCGUUGUCCGGAAUUAUUGGGCGUAAAGAGCUCGUAGGCGGCUCGUUGCGUCGGCUGUGAAAACCCGCAGCUCAACUGUGGGCCUGCAGCUGAUACGGGCGGGCUGGAGUUCGGUAGGGGAGACUGGAAUUCCUGGUGUAGCGGUGAAAUGCGCAGAUAUCAGGAGGAACACCGGUGGCGAAGGCGGGUUGCUGGGCUGACACUGACGCUGAACUGCGAAAGCUAGGGGAGCGAACGGG